rnacentral:rRNA from 1 species
GUGUCAGCAGCCGCGGUAAGACGAAGGUGGCUAGCGUUGCUCGGAUUUACUGGGCAUAAAGCGCGCGUAGGUGGUCUUGUAAGCGGGGGAUGAAAGCCCAUGGCUCACCCAUGGAACUGUCCCCCGGACUGCAAGGCUCGAGGGCGGGAGGGGAGAACGGAAUUCCCGGUGUAGCGGUGAAAUGCGUAGAUAUCGGGAGGAACGCCGGUGGCGAAAGCGGUUCUCUGGUCCGCUCCUGACACUGAUGCGCGAAAGCUAGGGGAGCAAACAGGAUUAGAUACCCUGGUAGUCC